rnacentral:rRNA from 1 species
CCUACGGGUGGCAGCAGUGAGGAAUAUUGGUCAAUGGGCGUAAGCCUGAACCAGCCAAGUCGCGUGAGGGAUGAAGGUUCUAUGGAUCGUAAACCUCUUUUAUAAGGGAAUAAAGUGCGGGACGUGUCCCGUUUUGUAUGUACCUUAUGAAUAAGGAUCGGCUAACUCCGUGCCAGCAGCCGCGGUAAUACGGAGGAUCCGAGCGUUAUCCGGAUUUAUUGGGUUUAAGGGGAGCGUAGGCCGCAUGUCAAGCGUGCUGUGAAAUGUCCGGGCUCAACCCGGGCCUUGCAGCGCGAACUGGCGUGCUUGAGUCCGCGGAAAGCAGGCGGAAUUCGUCGUGUAGCGGGGAAAUGCUUAGAUAUGACGAAGAACCCCGAUUGCGAAGGCAGCUUGCUGCAGCGGAACUGACGCUGAUGCUCGAAAGCGCGGGUAUCGAACAGGAUUAGAUACCCUUGUAGUC